rnacentral:lncRNA from 1 species
CCAUUUCCAUAUUUCCAUUUGAAGCAGAAGCGCGAAUCUCUGUGGCGGUGAAGCGUGUGCGAAGUCACGGACGAGAAGCAGAAGCACCAGCCUUUGUUAAUCCGUGGCGGUAGAGCGUGUGUAUUUUUCUUCAACUUUGAUAGGUUGUUUUCUUCUCAAAGCUGCCUUUAUUAAUUUGUGUGUAUAAAGAAUUAAUUCUACAGCAACCAGCCCUUCUGCGUUCUAUAGUCUAUGUGUAUAAAAAUAGUAAAGGUAGGAGUCUCGAACACUUGUCAAAUUAGGCGGAGAAGGACAAUAUUUAAAAAUAGUAGCGAGGGGAAGGCA